GACAGUAUCUUCAUUCAGGUGGAGAUGUUGCUGUCUCUUUAAGAAUGCGGCUUGUUGGCAGUGUUUGUUACUGAGGCGGUCGAGUUUGCUCAUGCUGGCUGUUAACACAGAACUUCGCACGAUUUUCAAAGAAAAGUCUAUUUUGGAGUCCACACUUUUCAGACCGCGAAAAAAUUCUCCGGACUGCUUGGUGUACGUUUGCCUGCAGGAUGGAGUUGGCUAAGAGGUCUGCAGCUUAUUAAAGAAGUUAAUACAAUAUGAUAUUGAAGUCACCGCGGGACAUAACGUUAUAGAAGAAGUUUUUAAAGUUUCCAUUUGACCUUCAGGACAGUUGGAACAACAGAAUGCAGCCUGACAGCAUCAGACCAGUGAAGG